UGGGGAAUAUUGCACAAUGGGCGCAAGCCUGAUGCAGCCAUGCCGCGUGUAUGAAGAAGGCCUUCGGGUUGUAAAGUACUUUCAGCGGGGAGGAAGGGAGUAAAGUUAAUACCUUUGCUCAUUGACGUUACCCGCAGAAGAAGCACCGGCUAACUCCGUGCCAGCAGCCGCGGUAAUACGGAGGGUGCAAGCGUUAAUCGGAAUUACUGGGCGUAAAGCGCACGCAGGCGGUUUGUUAAGUCAGAUGUGAAAUCCCCGGGCUCAACCUGGGACCUGCAUCUGAUACUGGCAAGCUUGAGUCUCGUAGAGGGGGGUAGAAUUCCAGGUGUAGCGGUGAAAUGCGUAGAGAUCUGGAGGAAUACCGGUGGCGAAGGCGGCCCCCUGUACGAAGACUGACGCUCAGGUGCGAAAGCGUGGGGAGCAACCAGG
rnacentral:rRNA from 1 species